AAUGAACCAACAACAAGACGCUGUAGGGAAAACAUCCGCUCGGCACUGUCAAAGGUGAGAUAUUACUUCCACAACCUUUCCAUUAACGAUGCUAAUGAACUAUUUGAUGGUUUGAAUCAUGGUGUAACACCACCGUCAGAGGUAGGCCUUCUCAGGAGUAUCUCAACAGAGGGUUAGCAGAGUUUGUCUCUCCUAAACAGGUGGGAUGGAUAAAAUGAUUAUGUCAUCACGAUGAGACUGAAGAACUGCUGAAAUACUCCUGAAAAGGCCACUUCCCAAGGCUAGCUGUGCAAAACGUAGCAUUUACAGCUGCCUCCAACAAGUACUUUAGUUUUAGUUUUCUUCCGCUAAUGAAUUAUUAGCAUAUCCAUCUUCUCUGCUGUCCUGUGUGGGGUGAGGUCUACUGUAAACUGUCACGUGUGGGGUGAGGUCAUGUGUGGGGUGAGGUCUACUGUAAACUGUCAUGUGUGGGGUGAGGUCAUGUGUGGGGUGAGGUCUACUGUAAACUGUCACGUGUGGGGUGAGGUCUACUGUAAACUGUCACGUGUGGGGUGAGGUCAUGUGUGGGGUGAGGUCUACUGUAAACUGUCACGUGUGGGGUGAGGUCAUGUGUGGGGUGAGGUCAUGUGUGGGGUGAGGUCACGUGUGGGGUGAGGUCAUGUGUGGGGUGAGGUCUACUGUAAACUGUCAUGUGUGGGGUGAGGUCUACUGUAAACUGUCAUGUGUGGGGUGAGGUCUACUGUAAACUGUCACGUGUGGGGUGAGGUCUACUGUAAACUGUCAUGUGUGAGGUGAGGUCUACUGUAAACUGUCAUGUGUGGGGUGAGGUCUACUGUAAACUGUCACGUGUGGGGUGAGGUCUACUGUAAACUGUCAUGUGUGGGGUGAGGUCUACUGUAAACUGUCACGUGUGGGGUGAGGUCAUGUGUGGGGUGAGGUCAUGUGUGGGGUGAGGUCAUGUGUGGGGUGAGGUCUACUGUAAACUGUCACGUGUGGGGUGAGGGCAGAACGACAGAUUUGUACCUGGUCAGCUCGGGGAUUUGAACUUGCAAUUUGCAACCUUCCGGUUACUAGUCCAACGCUCUAACCACUAGGCUACCCUGCCGACAACAUGUAUUCUGUAGCUACUAGGCAGCAGUACCAGCCUUUUCCUGUCUAGAGACAACAUGUAUUCUGUAGCUACUAGGCAGCAGUAUUGUCCAUUUCCUGUCUAGAGACAACAUGUAUUCUGUAGCUACUAGGCAGCAGUAUUGUCCUUUUCCUGUCUAGAGACAACAUGUAUUCUGUAGCUACUAGGCAGCAGUACAGUCCUUUUCCUGUCUAGAGACAACAUGUAUUCUGUAGCUACUAGGCAGCAGUACAGUCCUUUUCCUGUCUAGAGACAACAUGUAUUCUGUAGCUACUAGGCAGCAGUACAGUCCUUUUCCUGUCUAGAGACAACAUGUAUUCUGUAGCUACUAGGCAGCAGUACA